UACUGAUUUCUGAACUUCGAGGUGUGGAAAAUGUGGACAAGAAUGUGUUAACUACUCUUCAAUUUCUUUCAUUCUUAAUCAGUGUGCUGAGGGCAGUAAGUCUCUCUGGAACUGUUGAGAUUGCCAACAACUAAAUGAUCAACCAUCCCGACCUUGCCUGAGAAAGAGCACAAUACUUACAUUGGCACAAAAUCAUAAGUGGAACGACAUGAAAUAGUAAACACAAAUAAAUUAGUCUACAGACAAUCCCUGUCUAAAGAAAUUGCAAUGAGAUAAAAAACAUCAUGGGACUAAUAUUGAAUUUCUAAAAAGUGUGGAUGGGAAUUGAUAUUUUGGGAUUGCAGACUGAAGGGUUGAGGCAGGAUCCAUGUACAACUCUGAACUAUGAUAACUGAAAAGGAACCUCCCAACUUUUCACUUGGAGCUGCUAAAUGUGCUUGCAUACUUGGAUAUUGAAGACAGCUGCUCCAAAAACAGGUACUGCAUUGCAGAUGAUCUUUGUUUGGUCACACCAACUGGAGGAGUAUGGGGAGUCCUGACCUAAGAGACUCACUUUCCUGAAGGAACUAGGAUGACACUUUUUUAAAAUACAUUCCACAGGAUCAAGUGGUAGUUACAGAACAGAACUUCUA
rnacentral:lncRNA from 1 species